rnacentral:rRNA from 1 species
AACGAACGCUGGCGGCAGGCCUAACACAUGCAAGUCGAGCGGAUGACGGGAGCUUGCUCCUUGAUUCAGCGGCGGACGGGUGAGUAAUGCCUAGGAAUCUGCCUGGUAGUGGGGGACAACGUUUCGAAAGGAACGCUAAUACCGCAUACGUCCUACGAGAGAAAGCAGGGGACCUUCGGGCCUUGCGCUAUCAGAUGAGCCUAGGUCGGAUUAGCUAGUUGGUGGGGUAAUGGCUCACCAAGGCGACGAUCCGUAACUGGUCUGAGAGGAUGAUCAGUCACACUGGAACUGAGACACGGUCCAGACUCCUACGGGAGGCAGCAGUGGGGAAUAUUGGACAAUGGGCGAAAGCCUGAUCCAGCCAUGCCGCGUGUGCGAAGAAGGUCUUCGGAUUGUAAAGCACUUUAAGUUGGGAGGAAGGGCAGUAAGUUAAUACCUUGCUGUUUUGACGUUACCGACAGAAUAAGCACCGGCUAACUCUGUGCCAGCCGCCGCCGUAA